UUGAGAUUACAGCUUGGUUGUUGAAAGUAGACAAAAAGGAUUGUAUUUCAGUUCAUAAUAGUACUUUAUUUUGGAACUAUCACAGUAUCAUAAAUAAUUUGCUAACAGACACAAACAUCUCAGUGGUUAGCUUUCAGUGGCUAACCAUUUGUAAAGAAAAGCUCUAGAAAUGCUUAACAGCCUUGUGCUGAGAAAAUGAAUAUUCACAGUUGUUUGAAAAUAGUGUUUUGGAGACUUGAUACUUUUUUUUUUUUUUGAAAACUAAUGUUUCAAAGAUAAAACAUUCAAAUAAUUUGAACACGUCUGAUCAGAUGACAUUUGAAGAAGCUCAGGCCAAAGCUGAGCUGGGUCUGGUUUACUAACAAAUUAUAAAAAAAGAACACAAAAAUAAUUUCUACAGCAUCUUUCUCUGUUGAACACUGAUGGAGGGUAGGCAUCCACUACAGAUUGUGGAUGCAGCACCUUUUGUGCAGGCUUUGUAUGUGUGCUGCCAGGCUGUGGCAUGAGCAGCAGUGGGUAAGUAGAUGAGAUGUUAUGCAGUAAUAACAUGAGUCUUUGUUAGGCCUGUUAUUAAUCACUGACUGGUUGGGGUUUUCUGCAAUUGUGGUUCUGACCAAAGCAGAAAAUUGCAGUUGCUUAACAGAUUAGAUUUUACAUUUAAUUUGGCACAUGGCCUCUUUAAACAUAAAUCUAGACAUUAAGAAAUGUGAAGAAAGUGCUGCCUUUCAAAGAACACACUUGAUCCUGGAGUCUCACAGCAAAUACUCUCUUUCUUUGCAUUUCUUUACAUAUACUAGUCUGUGUGUUUAUUUGAUAAAAAGUUUAAGCAUAUGUACAAACAAAUGAAGCAAAAUCUUCAGAAUUCAUUCUAUUGAACUACAGUUGAUCUGCUAAAUUGUGGUAUGUCUGACAUGACAAGAGAUGACUGAGCUGGUAGAAAGUUCCCUGCACCAGUGAGCUGGAAGGCCUUGUUUCCUUUGCUUUCCCAGUCCUCCUCCUGGUCAUGUGGUCCCACACCUUCCAAGGCACCAUCACCAACAUUUGUGUUGAUUCAACUUGCCCGCUCCCAAGAAAGCUGUCUACGUUUUUGCUGGAUGAUUUACAAAGGGAUCUACUAAGCACCAGAACUGGUAUAAGUUUCUGUAGUGAGGGCACUAUGCAAAGAAAGCAGGAGGGAAAGAAGGAGCCAAAAGUCCUUGUUAUGUCUGUGAAGAGAUGAGGGAAGCUGUGCAAGGAGAGUGGGAAGGGACCAAGUGCUUGGGAACCAUGUCCGGGAAGGAAAAGAAAAAAAAAAAUUAAGCGGCAAACAGGUGAGUGUGUGCAAUAGCAGAUUAUGAAUAGACACAGAAAAGGAACUGGAGAAGGAAGAAGGUUCAAUAGCAAGUUAUAGGUAGAACAAUAAGAACAGAGAAAAAUCAAAUUAAAAGUUAAAUGUAAAGCAAAAGUAGUUAAAUAUAUUUUCAACAUGUACAAAAUGUACUGCAUCAAAAAUAGCCAAAAUAAAUCUGAUACUAUCCUGUUAUUUUUCAUGUAACCAAUUAGUGUAGUUGCCAUUGUGAAGUGAUGUAAUAGAUAAUGUGUUUUAUGGUAAAAUAGAGGAAUGGUGUGCACCUGGGGAAAAUCUGGGGAGGUUGCUCCCAGAGGGGUCAACAGCAAACUAAAUUGUACUUUAAACACUAAUGGAAGUACUGUUGCUUCCCUUGUUGGUACAUCAUAGGGCCCACUGUUCCCAGCUGGAGCUAGUCUUUUGCUGACAUUUCAGUAUUUUGCCAAAUUAGUCAGGGCAGUUUUGCAGUAAUUGUUUUUGACAUUUCAAAGUGAAUGGGCUGGCUUUCUAUUAAAUGGACACAGAGAUUAAAAGUUAGAUGGGAAACUUUAUUAAUCUGAGUUUUGGCUAGCUUCCUUUGAAAAAAGUAAGUAAUGUCAGAAUGCUGUAAAUCUGCUCAGCUUCCAUGUAAUUUGCAGAAUUGUUGAAAUCCAGUAGAUACAAACUCCUCAUUUUUUUGCAGCUGGGAGCUGUACAGCUAAAGUCAUAAUAUUGUAAACAGGUGAUAUAAAAGACAUUUUCCAAAGAACUGGGAUCCUAUUUUCCCAAGACUUAAUGGGAAUGAAGCAUCUAUACCCCACUAGCUGUAUUCCAAGUCUCAGGUUAGUUGACUCAUGAAAAAGCUUCAUUGGAUGCUCAAAUAUAGGAGGGGAUUCUGAUGUUGGGGGAGCUUUAACCAGCUAGCUCAGCUCACCUUGUGUGGUUGGGAGAAAAAGUACAAAUCUUACUAUUGUCUUCCAGUGGGCAAAACAAGAGUGGCUUAAUUUAGUGUAAUGUGUUGUCCUCACAGUAGUGAUCUUUCUCACUUCACUAAUCCUAAGAAUGUGGGUAUUUUUCAGCCACGUUAUUGUGUUAACUCUUCUCACCUAAGGUCUGGUGAAAGUCAAGGAAGAUGAAAGGGUACAACGCCUGGGUCAGUUGGCUUAUUUGUCUUGAAGACUUCAUCUUUUGUGACUGCAGUUCAUGGUUCAGAACCUCAUAUACUCAAGUGAACAAGAGCAGUGAAGUAGGAAGCUUCUGUCCAGAGCAGAAAUUGCCAGUGUUCAAGGAAAACAAACCAUGAGCCUUUUUCCCUGUUGCUAGGUGCUAUAUGGCAUGAAGAAGAGUGCAUGCUGUUACCAGCUUCAUUAAAAAAAAAAAAAAAAAAAAAAGGGUUGUUGUGUCAGAGAUUUAUCAUAGGCUGAAUUAGCAUUUUCUCUUUUGCUAUGAUGAACCAGCAUAAAUGUUUAUUUGGAAAUUGUUUUACAAAAUAAUGUAGAGGCUAGCAGAGUUUAAAAUAUUGCUAUGUCUCCCCCAAGAAAAUGACAGCACUGAACAUCAAAGUUACAGUUAAAAUAUAACCAGUGACAAAUGCAUUCAAAAGGCUUUGUCAGAUGAGUAGAAGGAAAUAUGUUCAUAAGAUUAAGUAACAAGAACUGUUUACACAGGUCAAAAAUAACUGGAAACAGUCAGAAGUUACCACCUGAAUAAAAAGCAGGGUAUUUGAGAAAAUGUGCUUAAAUUUUUUGAGAGGAAAAUACAUACAAGUUCUUGAUUGUGAAAAUUAUAAUAGUGGUAACUUUGCAUAUGCUAGGAAUUAAUUGAAAGACAUUUACAGUGUAGAAAGGGGAAGCUUGGAAGUAUUUGAAAAAUGGCUUUUAAACCUGGGGUUUCCUACCUGUUCUCUACAGCACAUAGAACAAGUGAGGACAGCAGCAAUAAAAGUUGUGUUGGCAGAUGAGACUGGAUAGAAAGGUGGUGGUUUUAGUGCUGUUGUGUUUCUUUUUUUAAAAAAAGUUUUAAAUGAACUUGUACUGUUGAUCAAAGUAAUCAAACAGUGUUGCUAAUAACCUCCUACAGGUAAUUAAUGCAGCUUAUUCACAGCUGGUAAUCUGAGGAAAGAUAAGGGAUUUUCCUGUGCUUUCCAAAUUUCAAGUACUCUUUUUAAGGGUAGAUGAGCCUCAAACAUUCUAGCUAAUGUAAGUAGGCAUUAUUAAAACAAUAGAAUACUCUAAAUCAGGUUUGGCAACAGCAUUGUGGUAAAUAAUUUGGCAGAGCAUUAUACUUUUUAUUACCUGAAGUGAUCAGUUAUUUAAUUUUUGGCUCCAAUCCCAGUUCAGCUAAAGCCAAUAGAAAGCUUGCCAUAGACUUUGAUAGCAGCUGAAUCAAAUGCUUCAUGACUCACGUUUCCAUGAACUGUGGUGAGGAAAUGUGCUUUCAUUUGGUACUUUGGUUUUGCUCUUCUAAUGAAUUCACACAAAAAAACCCCCAAAAAUAGACAUACAUACUCCUUAUACUACUAUUAAUUAGAGGAUUUGAUAAAUCAAAUAGUAGGCUUGCUUGUUUCACUGAAGCAAAAAAACAGAUUAAGUGAUUUAUUUUUCAGUUGACAGAGGCUACUUUUCUGACCCUGUUAUUUGCUCUAACUAAUAAUCUGUCCCAAUUUAUAAGAAGUUGCAUGCUGUAAGCUUGUUUGGUGCUGAAAGGGCAACACAGAAUGCUUUUGGAAAAUUGUUCAAGGUGAUGGCUAGCUGCAUGUAGUAUGACAUGUUUAAACCUGUUCUAAGAGAAACACAAUUUAAGUACUAUGUAAUUUUUCCUAGUGUUUUGUUUAGACACUUCUGUUUUCAACUGUCGUAGUAGAUCUCUGUUAAUUCACUUAAAAUCCACUGCCUUUCCUACUGGCCCUUGAAAGAAUGUCUGGAAGUCAAAACACUGAUGAUUUACAUCUGUACACAAAUUAGAUUAAACUUGCUGCAGCUUUGCUCAAAAACUACCUCCUCCUCCCACCUCAGGACACUUAUAUUUGCUGUUUUCUAUAUUCUAAUAGCAACUGCAUUUUCAAAGGAGACCACAUGUAAAACUUAGAAAUGUGGCGACACUUCUGAAUUCACAAGUCACCAUAGUCAACCUCUUGUUGAUUUUUUUCCUCUAACCCCAAUGAAUCAGGAGUUCCAAAAAGUGACGAGAAUCAAGUCUUACAGAAUAUUAACCUCUAAGAACUUCAAAAUGCUUUUACAAGUAGGACCACAGUGAAUUGAAGCUAUCCCAACAAGGGGAUUCCCCCAUCUCUCAAGAAGAAAG